CGGGGUGUAGCGCAGCUUGGUAGCGCGUACGUCUGGGGGGCGUGAGGUCGCAGGUUCAAAUCCUGUCACCCCGACCA
rnacentral:tRNA from 1 species